rnacentral:rRNA from 1 species
AUGUCAAGUAACAUUCCAAGAGUCGAGGAGUUUUUCCUAGAGUUUUUAAAGGUUCAUGAUACAUCAGGAUUAGGGCUUUUUAAUGUGUUGAUGGAUACAUUGGACUCUCUUGAUCUGGACGUUGCUGAUGUAAGAGGGCAAGGUUAUGAAAAUGGUUCUAACAUGAAGGGGAAAAAAUCAAGGUGUUCAGAAUCGCUUGCUUGA